rnacentral:lncRNA from 1 species
UGAAGUCAUUACAUUCUGAUCAUUUUCUCUUCUACUUAGCAGAGAUGGUUCUCCAUCCAAAUCUAAACCAGAUAAAUUAUAAGAAUCAAGAUUAUACUUUAAAGAAUCAGGGAUCUGCAAAUCAUCCUCUUUGCAGUGAUUAUCCAGCUGUCCAUCAUUACAUGAUAGACUUUCCUCGGCAUCAUUAUCUAAAUGAACACAAGUAUUUGUCACCAGUUUAUGCAAAAUAACCGCAUCAGAGAUUUGAUCCUUCACUGAUCUCACUAAUUCUACAACUGCUGAAGAAUUGGUUGAAGAGUUUUGUUCCUUAAAAUCUUCAAGGCUUCUCGUUAUUGCUUCUUGUAUAUCAGCUUCUUCCUCAAGUGUUCCUCUUGAAACAUAUUUUACAGGUUUAUCUAGAAAUUAAGAACUUGUGUCAGGAUUUUGACACACCCCUUCCUCCCAAUCCACAUCAGCUACUUCAUUGCUGCUCUCAGCUAAAGGCUAUUGGUUUUUUUUCAAGUCACUUUUUGGACUUGCAGUUAUAUCAGCAAAACCAUUUGGAAUUUCAGAAAUUUUCUUAACUAAACCUUCCUCCCAACUGCAAUCAGAUUCAAAAUCAUUUGUGCUCUUAUCUGAAUGAAUUCCAAGGGUAAAUUGGAUGAUGAAUAUAUUAUCAUCAUCCGUANN